GGAUAAUGAUCAUGAUCGAGAGAAAAAGAUUUCCAUAAAUAGGAGAAUAGAGUAAAAGUAAUUUGGAGAGAGGGAGGAAGACCACCUACGGAGAGGAUUCGUCACUGUGAGACCACAAUUGUCUCCUGGAGGAUGAACUUGGAAGAGAAAGUUGCUUUCCUCCCUAACAUAAAGGUAGAAAGUGACUUGAGUUUAAAGGAUAUAUUACAAAAAGUAUUAAAGAUAAAAAAAUUUGACCCACAUUUUCGUGAAUUGAAAAGAUUGAAAAAUCAAUGGUAUUUUUUUAAAAAUUGAUCAUUCCGAUUCUUAAACAAGAAAAAUCGAUUCGAAGUAUGACAAGCCCGCCAUAGACUUUAGAUGUUAAAAGCAGAAUCUGCUUGGUGCAACACUUUUCACGACUCGGGAAUCUGACUUUUUCCUCAUUUGAGAAUGCCGUCUAGGUCUGUACGUACAACUGGCUGAGCAAAUACGUAUUCUCAAUGCAAAAAUUUUGACGCCUCAGCCCUUGGCAAACAAAAAUAAUAAUAGUGGUGGCCAAGCCUCAGCCAGUAGUAAAUAGCGAUAAACUGCCAAGUGACCUUACAAAAGGCUUGAGAACGAAGUAGUUCAUUAAAUCAAUGCCAGAUGGCGUUGUAAACUCAACAGCAGAUGGCGAUAACAGCAAACUAUUUCUAGGUCAGCAAAAAAAGUAAACUCUUUAACAUUAAAAUCUGGCAACAGAUAAAUGUGAAAAAGUAUUGCAUGGUAAAUUGAUAUAAAUUGAUUGAUAUAAAUUGAUCAUAUAAAUUGAUCAGAUUUUUAACUCAACCUUCUUUUUUUUAAAUUAAAUACAAGAAUUUUUAACUAAUUACAGAUUUGACAGAGACACAUUACUCCCCAUCUCUUCUCCUAACACAGAUCAUCAAAAAAGCAAGAUGUUACAUGGUUAUGUAAUGAGAGCAAUAAUCCUCAAUGAAUUCGAAAGAAUGAAGAAAUAUUCAGAAAAGAGAUUAGAUUUGGAAUUCAUUAACGUAAAUGUCUUCCGAUCUGAUGAAAUUAAAGACAUUGAUAACAAUUAUAUUUUUAUAGUCAAUACCCAAUGCGAGCAAAAUAAAGAUGCACAUUGGCUAGUUUGCCAAAAUGACGGACGAAAUUUUAUUUUCUUCGAUUCGUUUGGUAAACAUCCCCGUGAUUUUAUAGAUGAAGAGCGUGCAAACGAGUUCGAUAAAUUUCUAUCAUCUGCUUUAAAAAACUAUCCCCUGAAAUAUAACCGAAAGAAGUAUCAAAACGAAGAAUCGACUCUAUGCGGCGGAUACGCUCUUUUGUUUGUUUUGUUUGCUUUCCAUAGAGCUACUGAUGAUGAAAAGAGAUGGGGAGUAUUAUCAGAAAAGCUUUCUGACUUCCAAAAUUUUCUGGAACAUAAUAAACGUAUAGAUCCCUAUAAUAAAGAAUUAUCUUACGAUAAAUUUGUCCGAGAUAUUAUUCUGGAAAAAUAUAAAGAUUUACCAGAAGAAACCAGGACAAUAUUGGAAUCACAAGGUAUAUUUAAUUCAUUAACGUUUAUGCUUCACAUUAAACUUCUUUACUGGCCUAUUCUCUUUCAAGUGGUGAAGUCCUACAGUUUCACAUUUAUACUAUACUAGUGACAAACAAAAGAAAACUACACUAUUUAAAGCAAUGCAAAUAUAAAAAAUAAAAAUUUACAAAUCUGUGCCUUUCUUAUCUCUGUAUGAUAUUGUAUCUUUUCUGAGGAGGACUACAAUUGUGUUAGCAGUUAUCUAUUUGAGUUGAGAAAUAAUUUUUCUCUUGUUCAUAUUUUUCUCUUGCUCAACAGCAUUUCUGGGAAAGAUAAUAAAAAAGAAUGAAUGAAAUAUUAAAAAUGAGGUCAGAGAUAUAUGCUAAGUUCUGAUUUCUGAAACUUAAGGCAUGAUGAAAAAAACAAAAUUGAUAUUUCAUGUGAUGUGCACUUGCUGAAGGUUGUGGAGAGGUCUUUAGAAGGAAGAAAACGGAAUGCCAUUACAAAUCUUUGUUAUGGGUUUAUUUCUUCACGUUCACCAUAUUGUCGUCUUCAAUAAGGUUAAAGGUUCAUCUGGAAAAGAACUUGUAAAUCAAAAGAUGAACUAUUAUAUCUUCCUGUUUUUUAAUGAGAUAAUGAUGGACUAUGAAUAUAAUAUUUUUAUUUUUUCACGUUCACCAUAUCGUCGUCUUCAGCAAGAUGGUCAAGAUUUAUCUGGAAAAGAACUUGUAAAUCAAAAGAUGAACUAUUACAGCUUGCUGAAUAUAUUUUUAUUUGCUAUUAUAUAUCUUGGUUUCGGGUUUCUUCACUGUUCACCAUAUUAGUCGUCUUCGGGAACUUUUGAAAUGUUGAAUUUAUCCUUGAAAAAUAAAACACUUAUCAAAAAAUGUGUUAAUAAAGCUCUGAAGCUUUAAUUUGUAAAAUGAUGUUGCAUGAUUGAAUGUAUUUGUAAUAAAUUUUUGUCUU
rnacentral:misc_RNA from 1 species